GAUGAACGCUAGCGGCAGGCCUAACACAUGCAAGUCGAGGGGUAGAGUUCUUCGGGACUUGAGACCGGCGCACGGGUGCGUAACGCGUAUGCAAUCUACCUUAUACAGGGGAAUAGCCCCAGAGAAAUUUGGAUUAAUGCCCCAUAGUGUUAUCGAAUCGCAUGGUUUGAUAACUAAAGUUCCAACGGUAUAAGAUGAGCAUGCGUCCCAUUAGUUAGUUGGUAAGGUAACGGCUUACCAAGACAAUGAUGGGUAGGGGUCCUGAGAGGGAGAUCCCCCACACUGGUACUGAGACACGGACCAGACUCCUACGGGAGGCAGCAGUGGGGAAUUUUGGACAAUGGGCGCAAGCCUGAUCCAGCAAUGCCGCGUGCAGGAUGAAGGCCUUCGGUUGUAAACUGCUUUAUACAGGAAGAAACACUCCGACGUGUCGGAGCUUGACGGGUACUGUAAGAAUAAAGGAUCGGCUAACUCCGU
rnacentral:rRNA from 1 species